CUGGCUCCUUGUCAGGUGAAAACACGAAGUCUGAUGAAAUGUUAUUAGUAAAAAAAAAUUUAAAAGACAUUUAUAGGGCCUGAAACGAUGGCCGAGAUGCCAGGAUGAGAAAAAUUGCAGUUUUCGACAUAAUCUUUGAAAUCAUCACAAUUAUUAUAUUGCAGGUUGGAAGGAUUUUAAAACGGAGACGUGUGCCCCUAAAGGACAUCUGCCCAAGCCGUUCUGCUUGUAUUUUGACUGCUCACACAAACAGGUUCUACUGGCCAGCGGGAAUGUAUACAGAGGAGUACACAUUCACCAACCAACAACCAGGAUAUAGUUUGUCGGUAUCUGACUUACACCACAAUAGUCUUCAGUGUUUGAAGAGUCCCUGCCCCCCCGGCCUGCUUCCGGCCCAGAGUCCGUGCCUUUGCGGCCUGCCGCCGCCCGGAGUCCCUGCCCCCGCGGCCUGCCGCCGCCCGGAGUCCCUGCCCCCGCGGCCUGCUGACGCCCGGAGUCCCUGUCUUUGCGGCCUGCUGCCGCCCAGAGUCCCUGCCUUUGCGGCCUGCUGCCGCCCAGAGUCCCUGCCUUUGCGGCCUGUUGCCGCCCGGAGUCCCUGCCUUUGCGGCCUGCCGUCGCCCGGAGUCCCUGCCUUUGCAGCCUGCCGCCGCCCGGAGUCCCUGCCCCCGCGGCCUGCCGCCGCCCGGAGUACCUGCCACCGCGGCCUGCCACCGCACGGAGUCCCUGCCUUUGCGGCCUGCUGCCGCACGGAGUCCGUGCCCCACCCUCUCCUUUUGUUUACCGUGUCACAGAGGGCGGUAUUGUGA
rnacentral:lncRNA from 1 species